rnacentral:lncRNA from 1 species
AACCCUUAAGCAUAUUUCAUUUUCAAUUUUUUCUUCAUAUUAGUGCACGCAAACAUGAUGACGACCACUAUGAACACUACAAAACUUGUUUUCCUCCAUUUAGCUUAUGUGUUUGGUAGCUUGCGAAUUUGGUUGUUGCAUGAUGAGGGGAAAAUCUUGAGUGACAAAGAGUGUUGUUGUUGUGCAUUUUCGGCAAAGUAUACAUAAUAGAUCCUGUAGUUGCUUGCAUGAUGAUGGUGUAGUCAUGUUAUAGAUCUAGGCACGAUGUAUUGCACAACUCUGGCGGUGCAAAUAUGUUUGGUUGUUGCUUUUUGCAUUUUUCCAUGAAAAGGAGAGUUGCAAGAUUAGUGAUAUACUCUAAUGAGGUGAAGCUCGAAUGUCUCUAGCAUUAUGUGUGGAUGGUGGUGAGAUCUUGUGGAGGUUUGAUCUGUUGUUGGGUUUCGACGUGGCUCAUGCGAUGAGUUUGAUAGGGGGUGCUGGUGUUGUGGAGGAGUUGUUUCGAUCUAUAGAUUCAAUGACGGUUCACAUGAUUUUUGGUGGAGUUGCAAUGAGACAAGUGGAUAUAGUUUGUGGUUAUCCGAUGAGUAUGCUUGGUGGUGUGCGAAGAAGCAUGAAUUUUUGGAUUUUAUUAUAUGUUAAGAUUGUUGAUAAGGGGAGCACAAGUUUAGCUGAACUCAUAAUCUCAGUAAUAUCUGAGAUUUUGAUGAUGACAAACGCAUAAUUAAUAACACACGUAUACUAUGUGUUACAUGUUCUAUGUUUACAUGUUAUAUGUGGUGUUGAAUAUGUUUGAGCAUACAUGAGAAAAUGAUUGUGUUCUUAUUGUGUUAUUCAUUGCAUUUCACUGUGUUAUAUAUGUGAUUUUAUAUUUGAAUGCAUGACACAUGUUUUGGAAACGGAAAACCACAAGCAUGUAUGUUAAACUUUAAUUGUGUG